CUCACACCGUACUCUUCCAGUUCAUACUGUUUUUGCUUAUAAAUAUUCAGCCUUUUUUUCUGCAGAUUGACAAGCAAACUCAGGCUGUGAACAGAGUCAAGGCUGUCACUGUAGGCUCAAGUUUUGUGUGAAUGAGGCAGUGUGUCAAACCGUUGCUGUGAAUGUGGAGAUGUAAAGCCUGUCCCUCCGUUUUACCAAACAGUGAAGUGAGACCAUGGCAGCUAUUCUCAGAGUGAUCCUGGGCCCAGACAGCCGUCAGAGGGUGACAUUUCCUGCUGGCUUGCCUUUGACAGUGUCUGAGCUAGAGACGGAGAUUAAGAGUCAGUGUAAAAUAACAGAUUCAUUUCGGUUACAGUUCAUGGACACCCUUUUUGGUAGUGAAUUUAUGAACGAAAUAGAAGAUAAAGCUACAGUGAAGGUCAUCUUCACACCAUGCCGACCUCAAGAUGCUGAUCAAGGUGGUGUCGGCAGUUUCUUUUUUCCACCAACCAGUACUCCUGAUGACACCACAUCUUUUUCUGGUGACAGCACAAUUAUCCUUACCAGUCCAGAGUCCACUUCUUCACGGUCUU
ensembl:lncRNA